GUUUCACCUGUGUCCAACCCGCUUUUCACCGUGGCCGUUAGAUGCAGUCAAACUUUCCUCACUCGUUCAGCUUCGGAAAGACUCUAUGACAGAUGGGACCUCCUACGUGCGGGACCCGAUAGUGAGAGGAAGGCAGGCCGGCUCGUUCGGUCGCUUCCUUCUCCUGUCCCCAGACCAGAGGUGAAAACCUAGAUCAAACGCCGCUCCCCCAAUCCUCGCUCCCGAAUCCCCACCCCUCCUUUGCUCCCUGAAUCCCCGUCGACCUCUCUCUCCCUCUCCCCAAUGAUGGUGCACCGCCGCUCCCCGAGAUGGAGCCGGACGGGCACGACCGCUAGGGCAGGCCGGAGAAGGCGACACAGGUGGGCGGCGGCGCGCUGCCUUGAGAAAUCGUCCACAGCACCGGGGCUCGAGAUCUUCGUUCAAGGGCGACGCCUAGAUGUGGUGGGAGCCGGCUCAAAAUCUCCCACCACCACCACGGCCACUACUCCGUCAGCAAGCAACGUCACAGGACAGCUUCUACCAGGUAAAGUCCUAACCCUAGCUCGCAUAUUUUCCGAUCUGAUCUGGAUAUUCUUGUCUUCUCUCCCGCUCGCGCAGCCCCAGCAUAUUCCCACGCACAGCGACGAGCACGUCCCAGAGAAUGGUGGUGACAUGGAGAUUGAGCAGUGAGAAGACGGAGUCACGGAGCCAGUACCGACGAACACGGUGGCAGGCGAGAGUGGACCUUGAGGGGCGGGUCCCGGAAGCACGGAGGGUGCCCAGCGACGAGCGGUGCAGGGUGAAAGGAGGCGCUGCAGGAGCAUGUCCUGGAGGAGGCCAGCGGCACGAGCGAUGAGGUGACCAACGCGACAGUUGGGUCCCUGCAGGCAGAAGCACGCGGCAUCAAGCAAAGGGGAUGCUGGCAGGGCACAAGGUUGCAACAGAGAAAGUUGGCGUGCUGUUCAGAUCUUGGGAGGUGGCUUUGGAUCAGAAAACUUAUGAGCUUAUUGGGACCGAUUAUCCUGGUAAUAUGACACUAAAGGAUAGUGGUAGCAAGUGAGGUUAUUUGGCAGCUUUGUAUAUGGCACAACUAGCAAGGAGGAAGGGAGUUGGAGACAAUGGUGGUGCAAACAAUCCUACAAUGAUCAUAUAGCGACAACAACAGUCAGUCUGCAGGUGGUUCUCUUUGUUCACAUAUUGACACCUCUGUCUCCGUGUUAAUUUCGUAAUAUAAAUUUGGUUACAAACCUAAAAUACUUGUUGGUGACGGUGACACAUCCUUUCAUCAGCAAAGCUUGCCUCGACAUGUGCAAUGACAGAAGCAACGUCACGAGCGGAGCCCUCUACGUCUCAGCUCGUCGUUCUUGAGGACCAUUUCGAUUUCUUGUUGCCGACUAAAAUGAUUUUUCUGAGUAGUUAAGAAGUCUCAAUAGAUGCUACUUACUACUAUAGCUUGUUCAUAUGGAAAAAUAGGAAGGGAAGCUAGCACUUGUGAGCCUAAAAUAUUUGUUGUCCUUGAGCUGCCUAGACUAUUUACAUCUCUCGUCAUAGAUCACCUCAAAGUUCUAGGGAGGCGCCCACUGUGCAUAGACAACUUACUGCUUGAUUAGCCUUUGCUAAGAUCAUUAUUUCUGGUGAGGCGUCCACUUUGCACUCUGUAGGGCAGGCGCUGUGUGGCAAGCCGCAAAAUAUUGUGAAUAAUGACCAAAUCCGUAAUGUUUCUGCCAUAUCAGCAAUAUCUCUUUGUUAUCUGCUUAGUGAGGCAGUUACAUGUGGCAGCUGGAAAUUUUGAAAGGCCCCAGAUUUUUUUUUCAAACUGAAGGCUCCCAGGUUUAUGAAGCAUAUGUCUAAUAGAUGAACCUACUUAGUAAUUCCUUAUGACUUAUGAACAUUUUGAGAGAAUUGAGUUGCUGAAUACUAAGGUAUAUAGUCGUUUCCCUUUUCCCCACUCCUGUUCCUAUGUAUUUUUGUUCAGCCUAUAAAUUGUGGCAAAUUAUAGCUUUUCCACUCUCAAGUAGGUCCCAUGAUGAUGUCAUAAAGAACGUAUGUCCUACUUUUCUAAUGUCCACCUAAUUUGAAUUGCCAAGAAAAGUACCGCCUUUUUAUUUUUGGAUGAUAAAGAAAUGGUUGUGGCUAUUUAUUAAUCUCCAGAGAAGCCUAAUGGUGCACUUCAUUUUAAUAUACACUUGCACACCGAGUUGCAGCCUCUGUUCGGUUUCCCCAUGCUAAUGUCCAGAUCAGUCCACCUCACCAUUUAGUUGAGCUUCAGCUGAAGAAUCUGUCGCAUGAAACUGCAACAAUACGAUGGUAGAUUGGCGCGUGCUCCCUUGCCAUCAUCAUUCUCUAGCUAAGUUUUGGUGUUUUCUCAUAUUCAGGUUCUAUAUUUGUGCUAUACUUAUUUGAAAUUUUUUCGAUUCAUUUCGUUUAUUACCUGAACUCUGUUUGUGCUGAUACUUAUCCAAGUAAGUGUGUUAUCAUCUUUCAUAUUUUACUUUUUCCUUUAUUGUAAACUUGCUACCGUCCUUAUCAAUGCAGCUGCAGAUUUUCCGCUCUCAUAAUGUGAUGUGCUCAUAAUCCUUCAUGAACCAUGAUUUCUUCUAGAAAACUUCAUCUUCGUAGUUAUUGUUUGAUCCAUAGUUUUCUUGUGUUUCUCUAUCAGUGUUUAUUUUCAUUCCUACUAUGCUAUACAUGUAUUACUGUAUGGUGUUGCCUCUGAACACAGUUUAUCUUAAAUGUCACUUGGAGAGACCACCAAAAUUUCGUAUUUCAUGUUUUUGGUAGAGUUCUUAUUAUGAUGAGGGUAGCAAUAGGUUGCAAUAUAGGUUGGAGGCUAUAAAUCAGGCAUAUGAUUCCUUUUUCUUCUGGUAUGAUCCAAAAUGUAUAAAUAACAUGAAUAGAGAAACUGACCACUUACGGUCCUGUAUUUGAGAAUGCACGAUGCACCUCUUCUUCCAUUUAUCCAAAUUCUUUGGCUUGCACAUAUUGGCAGAAUAGAUUAAUCAUAGUUACAAAUAGGGCAGAGAAAGCUGGUACAGAUGCAACUUGGUUUUAUCUGAUUAGUAUUUCUUAUAAUUAACUUAGGUGUUUGAGGCUUCUAAUGGUAGCUCACCAGCACUCAAUUUGUUUGAGCGGCAGAUAAUAUGUUGCCGGUCACGUUAAUUGGGGAGCGAGAUUUGUCAGUUGUGUUUUUCAUGCAUGGUUGACAGAAAGAUUGACACUUCAUCUACUGAGGGUAUUUAAAAACUCCAUUUUGUUGGCAGCAAGAGUCAUGGAAUUUUAAUAAAUUGAUAUUUUAUUAUCUACUUUUGUAAAAAGAUUGACACUGCGCAUGCACUUGAAGUAAAAGUCACCUAUUUCAUGUUUUACUCUUGUCCAUUUAUAUAAAAAAUAUAAAUUUUGUAUAUGCAUAAAUUUACUUAUUUAGUACUUAGGUUUCUCCUUGUGGUUUCUUAUUUCAUGUUUUACUCAUGUUUUAUCAAUCUGGUAAAGAAUCUUACCAUUUGAGGUUUGUCAUUCGUGCCAGGUGAACGCAAACACCAUUCUUGCAUCAUAAAAGGGCAGUUAGGUGCUCUGGUGUCUUGAUGAGCUAUGGGGAUCCCAAAGAUGGAAACUUGAUCCUAGGAAUCUCAAAAGAAGGCGAGUUCCUACGAUAGAAAUUCAUAAAUAAGCUUGCACAUGUGAUUUACUCCUAAUUAUAGUUAAGAAAGGCAAUGACGCAAGUCAUACUGUAACACCAUUACAUCUUAGUACUAUAAUUUUGAGAAAUAUAUUUGCAAGCAUGUUGUCGAAUCCCCGAUGGAUAUAUUAUACAUUAAUGUAUGACCAGGCAUUCACAUAUAUGCUCCUUCUUAUUGGAAUGGUCAUGAAUGAAAAGGUGGCUCAAAUUUUUGAUGGAUAUUCCCCCCUUGCUUUUUUUUACCUGUAACCCUAUUUUUGGUCAGUAUAAAUAUAUUGGAAGUUACAGUCUUAGUGGCCUGAUUGCAGGUCUAAUAUCUUGUGUGAACAAAUAAGUCAAAUGAUUUCUCUGUUUGUGUAAUUCCAUUUUCUCAUGGCAUCUCCCAUUCAAAAGGUAACUAGCAUUGAAUCUUUACAUUCUUUGGCCAAAUUGAGAAGUGAACUUGGACUAAUAGCUUUCAUGUAUAUGCAUAUUUUGUAUAUGUAUUUUUUUGCCUUCAUUUCCUUUCUGUUAAAACAUGUUAUUCUGAGUAAACUUAGGAAAACUAUAUAGCUUUAGUUGGAUAUAGCAUUCAGAAUUUCACCACUUAUCUUGGAUUUCUGAAAUCUUUUCAGAGGACAUGUUUUUGAAAAAAUAUGCAUGCUUUUGUCAUAGAAUUGGUGAGCAAUUUAGGUAUAUAUGUCGAUCCUGCUGUUACUAGCCUUUCUUGUCAUGUUGUUGAUUCUGUUGUAGAUCUAGCUAUGAUGUUGCUGUCAAGGGCCCAAAGAAGUAGUGAAUCAGAGGGACAAGAGUGGAGGAUGUUGUUAACACAGAGAAAACAAAGAGGAAUAUCAAUUCCGGAGGAAGCUUCAUCGCCACUGUCCCUCGCUUCUUGCCGUCUUCCACCGCCAGUGUCCAAUGUGAUGUUCACCGCCAUGCUGCAACGACAUCCGCAGGCUCACCAUUUUCCUGCUCUAGCCCUUGCUCACUGUCCAUACCGCCCUUCCAUGGUAGAGUCAUUAUGGAUGGAAAGGGGUGAAGGGUUGGGCAUCAGAGUGUAUGGCGUGCCUCACGACUCUCGGUGACUAUCAUCUCUGUUGCUUGCUCUUCAUCCAACUUCGUUGAGCCACAAGGGGUGUCGACUGUCGAGUGAGUAGAAACAACAAACGGAGCAGACUGCAUGUAAUUGCUUAUGUUCUUUUCUCAUUUUUUCGCAGGAUUUCACUUAUUGUUUUCCAAAAUAUGUAGAUCCUACUAAUUAUAGUCCCUCAUGUAGGUAUAUUUUAUCAUGCAUUUGUUAAUAAUCUCUUCACAGACAAUUCACACUUUUAGGCCCUGCUUCGUAUCUUUUGUUGUGUUCUCUUUAGGUAUCUAUGCAGAAUUAUUCUUUGCAGCUUUGUCACUUGUGGUGGUGUUGAGGCAAUUCUCUGCUGCCAGGUUUCUUUCCUCAAUGAGGUAAACAUUUAUUGCUUUCUCUAUACUGUUUUAGCCAGCCAAAUCAGGAUAACCUGGCCAUGUACAUCCUAUUUUUAGUUUGACCAGUCCUCACUGCUUGCUUUUUAUUGUGAUAUCUUUUCUCUUUUUAGCUUAGUGAAAAUGUUUUCCUGUAGCAGAUAACUUGUGCUGAAGUCGAGGGAUGAUACAUAUAUUGUGCAGAUGUUUUAGUGCAUAUACUAGAGUACCCUACUUAUAUAUUGUUAACUCUCGGCAGGCUGAUAUUGAUAUUACAUUUAUGAACUAAAUGCAGUUUUUUGUCCUUGUGUACAUUGAAUACAGCUUCCCUAUAGAUAUGUGAAAUGAAACAUUAUUUACAUAUUUUAUCCAAGUAUAUGCUUGUGUUUAUGAAAUUUACCACGGUCACCAUGAGUAUGAGUAGUGGGCCAUAUUGUAAUCCAUGAACAUAUACAUAGCAGCGUGAGACAAUAUUGUGUAAUUAACACAAGCAGUUAUUUCACUGAGUCUAAAAACCACAUUAGCCAUAAUGUGAUCACGUGGCUUGAGUAAUGUCUUGCUUUUGUCAUUUGCGUCGGGGCGCAACCGGUCAUCUAUGGCAUGUGUGUUCUAUUUUAUCAGCUGUACAUUUGAUUGUAGUUCUUUUUGUAUCUGUUUAAUAGGCAUAAUAUCGGAGGAACUGGCGGUAAUGAUGUAUAGUGAUCUUGGUAUGCAAGUAUGACCAGGCACUUGGUGUGGCCUGCACGCAUUUGUUCUUUGAUUCUUAGUGAGGAUCAUUGUGUAUUCUUAUUGAAGGAAAUGAUACUACUUCAAUUUUACUUAUUGUAUGCAUUGAUGGCACCCAAAGGAUUGCUUAUACAAGCUUAAGGGCUCUCAAAGACAUACUGAAUUCUUGGAAAUCUAAAUAGACAUCAGCCGAGUAAAACUUAUAUUUUUA